rnacentral:rRNA from 1 species
UACGUAGGGCGCAAGCGUUAUCCGGAAUUACUGGGCGUAAAGCGUGCGCAGGCGGUUUUGUAAGCCAGAUGUGAAAUCCCCGGGCUUAACCUGGGAAUGGCAUUUGGGACUGCAAGGCUGGAGUGCGGCAGAGGAGACUGGAAUUCCUGGUGUAGCGGUGAAAUGCGCAGAUAUCAGGAAGAACACCAAUGGCGAAAGCAGCUCUCUGGGACGGUACUGACGCUGAGACGCGAAAGCGUGGGGAGCGAACAGG